rnacentral:rRNA from 1 species
GAAUGCUGACAUAAGUAACGAUAAAGCGGGUGAAAAGCCCGCUCGCCGGAAGACCAAGGGUUCCUGUCCAACGUUAAUCGGGGCAGGGUGAGUCGACCCCUAAGGCGAGGCCGAAAGGCGUAGUCGAUGGGAAACGGGUUAAUAUUCCCGUACUUGGUGUUACUGCGAAGGGGGGACGGAGAAGGCUAUGUUGGCCGGGCGACGGUUGUCCCGGUUUAAGCGUGUAGGUGUGUGUUCCAGGUAAAUCCGGUUCACUUUAACACUGAGGCGUGAUGACGAGGCACUACGGUGCUGAAGCAACAAAUGCCCUGCUUCCAGGAAAAGCCUCUAAGCAUCAGGUAACAUCAAAUCGUACCCCAAACCGACACAGGUGGUCAGGUAGAGAAUACCAAGGCGCUUGAGAGAACUCGGGUGAAGGAACUAGGCAAAAUGGUGCCGUAACUUCGGGAGAAGGCACGCUGACACGUAGGUGAAGUGAUUUACUCACGGAGCUGAAGUCAGUCGAAGAUACCAGCUGGCUGCAACUGUUUAUUAAAAACACAGCACUGUGCAAACACGAAAGUGGACGUAUACGGUGUGACGCCUGCCCGGUGCCGGAAGGUUAAUUGAUGGGGUCAGCGCAAGCGAAGCUCCUGAUCGAAGCCCCGGUAAACGGCGGCCGUAACUAUAACGGUCCUAAGGUAGCGAAAUUCCUUGUCGGGUAAGUUCCGACCUGCACGAAUGGCGUAAUGAUGGCCAGGCUGUCUCCACCCGAGACUCAGUGAAAUUGAACUCGCUGUGAAGAUGCAGUGUACCCGCGGCAAGACGGAAAGACCCCGUGAACCUUUACUAUAGCUUGACACUGAACAUUGAGCCUUGAUGUGUAGGAUAGGUGGGAGGCUUUGAAGUGUGGACGCCAGUCUGCAUGGAGCCGACCUUGAAAUACCACCCUUUAAUGUUUGAUGUUCUAACGUGGACCCGUGAUCCGGGUUGCGGACAGUGUCUGGUGGGUAGUUUGACUGGGGCGGUCUCCUCCUAAAGAGUAACGGAGGAGCACGAAGGUUGGCUAAUCCUGGUCGGACAUCAGGAGGUUAGUGCAAUGGCAUAAGCCAGCUUGACUGCGAGCGUGACGGCGCGAGCAGGUGCGAAAGCAGGUCAUAGUGAUCCGGUGGUUCUGAAUGGAAGGGCCAUCGCUCAACGGAUAAAAGGUACUCCGGGGAUAACAGGCUGAUACCGCCCAAGAGUUCAUAUCGACGGCGGUGUUUGGCACCUCGAUGUCGGCUCAUCACAUCCUGGGGCUGAAGUAGGUCCCAAGGGUAUGGCUGUUCGCCAUUUAAAGUGGUACGCGAGCUGGGUUUAGAACGUCGUGAGACAGUUCGGUCCCUAUCUGCCGUGGGCGCUGGAGAACUGAGGGGGGCUGCUCCUAGUACGAGAGGACCGGAGUGGACGCAUCACUGGUGUUCGGGUUGUCAUGCCAAUGGCACUGCCCGGUAGCUAAAUGCGGAAGAGAUAAGUGCUGAAAGCAUCUAAGCACGAAACUUGCCCCGAGAUGAGUUCUCCCUGAGACUUAGAGUCUCCUGAAGGAACGUUGAAGACGACGACGUUGAUAGGCCGGGUGUGUAAGCGCAGCGAUGCGUUGAGCUAACCGGUACUAAUGAACCGUGAGGCUUAACCUUACAACGCCGAA